GGGCCCGCACAAGCAGCGGAGCAUGUGGUUUAAUUCGAAGCAACGCGAAGAACCUUACCUAGACUUGACAUCUCCUGAAUUACUCUUAAUCGAGGAAGUUCUCCCUUCGGGGAGGACAGGAAGACAGGUGGUGCAUGGUUGUCGUCAGCUCGUGUCGUGAGAUGUUGGGUUAAGUCCCGCAACGAGCGCAACCCUUAUUGUUAGUUGCUACCAUUUAGUUGAGCACUCUAGCAAGACUGCCGUGGUUAACGCGGAGGAAGGUGGGGAUGACGUCAAAUCAUCAUGCCCCUUAUGUCUAGGGCUACACACGUGCUACAAUGGCGAGUACAAAGAGACGCAAAGCCGCGAGGUGGAGCAAAACUUAUAAAACUCGUCUCAGUUCGGAUUGCAGGCUGAAACUCGCCUGCAUGAAGCUGGAGUUGCUAGUAAUCGCGAAUCAGAAUGUCGCGGUGAAUACGUUCCCGGGCCUUGUACACACCGCCCGUCACACCAUGAGAGUUGGCAAUACCCGAAGUCCGUAGCCUAACCUUUUAGGAGGGCGCGGCCGAAGGUAGGGUCAGCGAUUGGGGUGAAGUCGUAACAAGGUAGCCGUAGGAGAACCUGCGGCU
rnacentral:rRNA from 1 species